GAUGAACGCUGACAGAAUGCUUAACACAUGCAAGUCAACUUGAACUUCGGUUUGGGUGGCGGACGGGUGAGUAACGCGUAAAGAACUUGCCUCACAGCUAGGGACAACAUUUGGAAACGAAUGCUAAUACCUGAUAUUAUGAUUAUAUGGCAUCGUAUAAUUAUGACAGCUAUAUGCGCUGUGAGAGAGCUUUGCGUCCCAUUAGCUAGUUGGAGAGGUAACAGCUCACCAAGGCGAUGAUGGGUAGCCGGCCUGAGAGGGUGAUCGGCCACAAGGGGACUGAGACACGGCCCUUACUCCUACGGGAGGCAGCAGUGGGGAAUAUUGGACAAUGGACCGAGAGUCUGAUCCAGCAAUUCUGUGUGCACGAUGAAGUUUUUCGGAAUGUAAAGUGCUUUCAGUUGGGAAGAAAAAAUGACGGUACCAACAGAAGAAGUGACGGCUAAAUACGUG
rnacentral:rRNA from 1 species